rnacentral:rRNA from 1 species
UUCCCAGUCCCUAGUAGCGAUCCUCUCCCUAAUAGGACAUUCCCCCCUUCUCCUUUUUAUUGGGAAGUGGACCCCUCCAUCAGGGAUAGCCUUGUGACCCGCUUUCAGCAGUCGGUCGGAAGCGGUUCAGCCACAUUUCCCCGUCACACCACGAAAGUCGGCUGUACCAGAAGUGCGUGGGCUAACUCCUCGGAGAGGCAGCGUACCAAGGUGUGGUCCGUAACUGAGAGAAGUCGUAACAAUGUAGCCGUACGUGAACUUGCGGCUGGACACUCCUAAUCUAGAGCAUCGCAGAUUG